rnacentral:tRNA from 1 species
AAUGAAAUGACUGAACUAAAGUAAUAGACUGUAAAUUUAUUUAUGGAAAUAUAAUUUCCUUUCAUUA